rnacentral:rRNA from 1 species
UACGUAGGGUGCGAGCGUUGUCCGGAAUUAUUGGGCGUAAAGAGCUUGUAGGCGGUCUGUCGCGUCUGCUGUGAAAAUCCGGGGCUCAACCCCGGACUUGCAGUGGGUACGGGCAGACUAGAGUGUGGUAGGGGAGACUGGAAUUCCUGGUGUAGCGGUGAAAUGCGCAGAUAUCAGGAGGAACACCGGUGGCGAAGGCGGGUCUCUAGGCCAAUACUGACGCUGAGGAGCGAAAGCGUGGGGAGCGAACAGG